rnacentral:rRNA from 1 species
GAUGAACGCUGGCGGCGUGCUUAACACAUGCAAGUCGAGCGAUGAAGUUUCCUCGGGAAACGGAUUAGCGGCGGACGGGUGAGUAACACGUGGGUAACCUGCCUCAUAGAGUGGAAUAGCCUUCCGAAAGGAAGAUUAAUACCGCAUAACGUUGAAAGAUGGCAUCAUCAUUCAACCAAAGGAGCAAUCCGCUAUGAGAUGGACCCGCGGCGCAUUAGCUAGUUGGUGGGGUAACGGCCUACCAAGGCGACGAUGCGUAGCCGACCUGAGAGGGUGAUCGGCCACAUUGGGACUGAGACACGGCCCAGACUCCUACGGGAGGCAGCAGUGGGGAAUAUUGCACAAUGGGGGAAACCCUGAUGCAGCAACGCCGCGUGAGUGAUGAAGGUUUUCGGAUCGUAAAGCUCUGUCUUUGGGGAAGAUAAUGACGGUACCCAAGGAGGAAGUCACGGCUAACUACGUG